CGGGCUGUGGGAAAGUUUGGUCAAUCCGCCUGGCUGGGGGCCAGGAAAUCGCGCGUUCGAAUCGCGCCAGCCCGACCA
rnacentral:tRNA from 10 species